rnacentral:rRNA from 1 species
UACGAAGGGGGCCAGCGUUGUUCGGAAUCACUGGGCGUAAAGCGCACGUAGGCGGAUCGUUAAGUCGGGGGUGAAAUCCCAGGGCUCAACCCUGGAACUGCCUUCGAUACUGGCGAUCUUCGAGUCCGGGAGAGGUGAGUGGAACUCCGAGUGUAGAGGUGAAAUUCGUAGAUAUUCGGAAGAACACCAGUGGCGAAGGCGGCUCACUGGCCCGGUACUUACGCUGAGGUGCGAAAGCGUGGGGAGCAAACAGG